CCUACGGGAGGCUGCAGUGGGGAAUAUUGGACAAUGGGGGCAACCCUGAUCCAGCCAUGCCGCGUGUGUGAAGAAGGCCCUCGGGUUGUAAAGCACUUUCAGUGAGGAAGAACGCCUGGUGGUUAAUACCCAUCAGGAAAGACAUCACUCACAGAAGAAGCACCGGCUAACUCCGUGCCAGCAGCCGCGGUAAUACGGAGGGUGCUAGCGUUAAUCGGAAUUACUGGGCGUAAAGCGCGCGUAGGUGGCUUGAUAAGCCGGUUGUGAAAGCCCCGGGCUCAACCUGGGAACGGCAUCCGGAACUGUCAAGCUAGAGUGCAGGAGAGGAAGGUAGAAUUCCCGGUGUAGCGGUGAAAUGCGUAGAGAUCGGGAGGAAUACCAGUGGCGAAGGCGGCCUUCUGGACUGACACUGACACUGAGGUGCGAAAGCGUGGGUAGCAAACAGGAUUAGAUACCCUAGUAGUC
rnacentral:rRNA from 1 species